rnacentral:rRNA from 1 species
GACGAACGCUGGCGGCGUGCUUAACACAUGCAAGUCGAACGGAAAGGCCUGCUUUCCCUUGUGGAUUGCGGGUACUCGAGUGGCGAACGGGUGAGUAACACGUGAGUGAUCUGCCCCCAACUUGGGUAUAAGCCUGGGAAACUGGGUCUAAUUCCCGAUAGGACUGCAGGGUGGUGCCUGUGGUGGAAAACGAUUUUCUAGUGGUUGGGGAUGAGCUCGCGGCCUAUCAGCUUGUUGGUGGGGUAAUGGCCUACCAAGGCGGCGACGGGUAGCCGGCCUGAGAGGGUGGACGGCCACAUUGGGACUGAGAUACGGCGCAGACUCCUACGGGAGGCAGCAGUGGGGAAUAUUGCACAGUGGGCGGAAGCCUGAUGCAGCGACGCCGCGUGGGGGAUGACGGCCUUCGGGUUGUAAACUCCUUUCGACCGCGAGGAAGCCACCUGGUUGGAAGGGUGGUGACGGUAGUGGUAGAAGAAGCACCGGCUAACUACGUG